CACAAAGAGUCAGACAUGACUGAGCGACUUUCCUUUGUAGUGAACAGUGUCUCCCUCUGGAGUCGGUGGCAGGUUGUUUGCAGCCCAUCAUAAAAGAUUGGGGGACCCUGGGCUUGGAGUUGGUCCCCUGGGACUCAAACCCCCAUGGUACUUGCGGGUGGGGGACAGAGGUAGGCAUGGAACUCAGACUGCCUGUUGAGCUGGGAGUAGUGGGCCCUUUGACUCUAAGCUUGGAGGCUCCUGUGUUCCGCCAGCUUCCCUGGCACCGUGCCAGGAUAACCCUCCAGCUUCCAUGGAGGGUGAAGCCUCACCCGUUCCUCAUUGCUGAUGCUCACCUUCAGGUUUUUGGGAGGAUGGGCAGAAGCACUCGAUCACCCUGGCAAAUGCCAGUCUCUCAAAGUCAUGCUCCCUUCCUCUCUGACACCAAGAGCGUUUUUUUCACUAUAAAUACUUGUCAACUCAUCAUUACUUCUUUUAGGUUUCAGUUGAUACCCAUAAUGAGAUUCAAGUUCCAUAUCCUAAUUACACCUCCGGGACACACAGGCAGAUGAAAAGGAAGUGCAUUUUCCAGCGUUUUUCUCGCAGCUCAAGUCGGCUGUUCAAGUAUCUCCGAGGGAAACAGAAAAGGAGGCUAUAAAUAGAUCAUGAAAAGAAGAACAAGAGCUGGAUCUCAUGAAGGUACAAGGUGACUCCCAGGGCUCGCCAGGCACCGCAGCGUGACGCGAGGCGAGCCGUGUCGUGUUCUCGGGGUGGAUUCUCCCGAAAGCCUCACAAGCACUGUGGCGGCUUCCUCUUUCUAGUUUCCAUUUGAAGACAGGGCGGAGUCCCCCUAACUUCUGUGACUGCACCCUUGCCUGCUGGACCUCUGCCAAUAUUGGAUAUUGAUUGUAUGUGAGAUCACUGCCCUACAAGAGUUCACAAUGUUUGAGAAUUCUUGCCAGAGCUUCUCGUAAAAAAAUUUCACAGAGAAAUGAAAUAUCACACCACGUGAUAUAGCACUUCUUUGUCAACACAUCUUAUCGUAACUUCUGUUUAAGGAAAGCAUCCAAAAACCACCCAAUUGUGCUGAGUUUGGUCCCAGUGGAGGACGUCUUUGUAACGUGCUUCUGGGCAGUUUCCUUUCGAGCCCCUCCCCCAGAUCAUACACCCGUGAGCCUGACUGCAGCUUGUUUGUCAGAGAAGAUUUCAGUUUCCCUCUUACUCUGGGACACGUUUCUGCCUGCGAGUGCCUUGUUCGCGUCUCUGGCGGGUCUGGCUGCAACCGGGCCACGAGCGACACCAACAUGAAGCGUGGGGAUUGCCGCCUUUGUUGUCUGAGAAUGGCGGCGGGACCCACCAUCUGGGCGAGAACAGACCAGAAGCGCCCGAGAUCGGGGCAGCCUGGGUCAGCCGGACCCGCCCCGCAUGCAGGUGCUGGGCAGACAGCGCCUGUCUUCCCAACGCUCAGUUCUCUACGCGUGUGCCCCCUUCCGCGUCCUCGGGGUCUCACUGCCCCCCACCCUGGCUGGCUUGUAGAGAGACUAGGGGCAGGAUGUUAGGAAGCUCAAGGCCUGGCCUCAUGAGGGUCCUCGUGACGUAUGGACGAUGGAGGAAGGGACUUCGCGGUUCCUGUUACUGCCUGCUCUCAGCCAGCCUUCCCUGCCCCGCUCUGUGCCCCGGGGGGGUGACCUGCCCCGCUGUGAACUGCAGACGGCACAGGCUGGAGGGUAGGGGGCAGAGAGAGGGUGGGGUCUCUCUCCCCGCUGCUCCCCAACUUCCUGCCGCCUCGCAGUGGUUUUAUCCUCUGGACUCGGCUCUUGCCGAGGGGCCCUCGGGACAGCCGCCCUCUCGUGGUCCAGCAUCACUGGUCCGUGCCCUCCAGUCUGGGGCCAACAGGCGGUACCGCCUCCCUUGUCGCUUAGUUCCGAGCGGUCCGGAAGCUCCAUCCCCCACCCCGCCCUGUAUAUUCAGAUACGCGUUGAGCUACAGUUGGCAUACCUGCGGCUCACCCGUGUAAACACCACGCGGCGGUCAGGGCUCCGUUCGCAGACUCGUGCAGCUGUGACCACCAGCAAUUUUAGAUCGCUGUCCACAGCCCGGAAGAAAUCCCACUCCACCCCCGCCCCGCGCCUCUGGCCCCCGAGGGAAGUGCUGCGCCCCUCUCCUUCUGGGUGUUUCCACCGAGGGGCUCCUCCCCCACCCCCCCUCCCUCCACGUUCCGCGGCCGUGCCCAAGUCUGUGCCUCCACAGAACUCUCCUCGGCUGAGCCCUCAGCGGUGUGCCACCCUUCUGGCUGGGAGCGCACCGGCUUGGACUCGCAUGCCAGUCCAGUACAAAAAGAAGAAAGAAACUGACUUCCCAGCUCUGGGCAUCAGGUGGGUGGCGCCCCUAAUAAAGACGUGGAAGCAGAA